GUGGCGGACGGGUGAGUAACACGUGGAUAACCUACCCUUUAGACUGGGAUAACUUUGGGAAACCGGAGCUAAUACCGGAUACAUUCCCUGUUGCGCAUGCGAUGGGGAAGAAAGGCGAAUAGCCGCUGAAGGAUGGGUCCGCGUCCCAUUAGCUAGUUGGUGGGGUAAUGGCCUACCAAGGCGACGAUGGGUAGCCGGCCUGAGAGGGUGGCCGGCCACACUGGGACUGAGACACGGCCCAGACUCCUACGGGAGGCAGCAGUGGGGAAUCUUCCGCAAUGGGCGAAAGCCUGACGGAGCGACGCCGCGUGAGUGAAGAAGGCCUUUGGGUCGUAAAGCUCUGUCUUUGGGGAAGAAAUAAAUGACGGUACCCAAGGAGGAAGCCCCGGCUAACUACGUGCCAGCAGCCGCGGUAAAACGUAGGGGGCGAGCGUUGUCCGGAAUUACUGGGCGUAAAGGGCGUGUAGGCGGCUCGUGAAGUCAGGAGUGAAAACCCGGG
rnacentral:rRNA from 1 species